rnacentral:rRNA from 1 species
UACGUAGGGUGCGAGCGUUAAUCGGAAUUACUGGGCGUAAAGGGUGCGCAGGCGGCCCUGUAAGACCGGUGUGAAAUCCCCGGGCUCAACCUGGGAAUUGCGCUGGUGACUGCAGGGCUAGAGUACGGUAGAGGGGGGUGGAAUUCCUGGUGUAGCAGUGAAAUGCGUAGAGAUCAGGAGGAACACCGAUGGCGAAGGCAGCCCCCUGGGCCUGUAUUGACGCUCAUGCACGAAAGCGUGGGGAGCAAACAGG